UGUAGUCUAAAGAAUUGGCUACCGAAAAACCAAUAAUUCAAUUGAUCCGACUCCAUUAAAACUGGAGUGUGGAAUUAAGUGUGAAAUCCUGGUAUAUUUCAUAGAAACAUUGCUGUUGGAUAUGUGACAAAACAACAGUAUGGCGAUACUUGAAGAUAACAAUCUACAAAAGUUGCUCGAGUUUGACACAAACUUGACGAAUGUAAUGGAACUGUACGUAGCCUGUGAGAAUUCAACAACAAUGGUACAUGCUUCGCCACGUCAAACCACGAAGGAUCUAAAUCUCAACGAUUUUGUUCGAUAGUUCUCCAUUCGUUGUUACAAUAUGAGCCAAGGGAAGUUCAUGAGGCGGAGUAAUAGCUGCUCAGCUAUCGUGCCUCGUGAACCGUCAUGGUUAAAAUUAGAAUACGAGGGAGGCCGUCAUUUGAUGUCAGAUAGAGCAUCAACGAGACACACCUUGGAAAGAUGUCGGUCUGCUCGUCUGAUCGAUGUCAGUUCUCACUCAGUAUCACAAAUACGUCAUCUCGCGGACACUUUACGCCGACUGGAUAUUAGUAAUAGAUCACUACGCGUCAUCAGCAAAGAUUUGAUUAAAGAGUUUAUCCAUCUUGAAAAGUUGGACCUGGACAAAAAUAACCUUACCGAUAGCAGUUUUCCAGAUGAAUUUGAAAGACUAGAAAAGCUAGUGGAGUUAAACUUGGAGAACAACAAAAUGCGACAUUUGCCAAAUGUACUGUUGAAAUUGCGCCAACUGACAAGGCUUAAUGUUGGCAGUAACAGACUAGAAGACAUGCAGGGUAUCGAUAAGUUCAGGCGUUUGAUAUCACUUGUCAUAGAAAACAAUAAACUUGAAAAUUCAACCCUCAAAGAAAUAUUCUCCUCUUUGAGAAGACUAGAAACAAUAUACGCAGGUAGCAACAAUUUUACCGACGUGCCAAUUGAUAUAAAAUAUUUGAAAUUUCUUCAAGUUUUGGAUGUGUCUAAGAAUGCUUUAACUGCAUUGCCAAAUGAAGUCUUCAAGUUGCAGCAUUUAGAUGUGCUUAACGCGAGUGGGAAUAAGAUUACUAGGAUCCCGACCAUCAAUAUCAAGACGCGUGCAAAAAGAACGAUAAUGUGCGUUGAUCUAUCUGAUAACGAGAUUGUGAGAUUUCCUGAGCAUCUUCUUUACAUGUCCGACAAACUUGAUCUCACAGGGAACAAAAUAAAAGUGGUUAAUGGAAAUGUUAUCAGGAAGAUGAAACUAGACGAUGGGCAAUCUUUGAAACUAGAAGGUAAUCCCCUCAAUUUCCCUCCUAAGGAAAUCUGUGAAUCUGGUCUAAGGUCAAUGAUGGAGUAUUUCAUCGAGAAGCAAUGCAUGAGUAAAGUCUACAGAGGUCUCAAAGUGCUCGUCUUGGGGGCGUAUAAUUCAGGGAAAACAAGCAUGGUACAAACAAUUGUUGAUGAACAGCCUCGGUUAGUUCGGGAACAGGAACGAACAAUUUCAUGUGACAUAUACGAAGCAAGUAUUACAUUGACCAGUGAAGAUGCACCAACCAAGGAACUCGAUAUUUCCUUAUGGGAUGUAUCUGGCCAUCCGUCAUAUACGUUUACGUCGUAUCUCUUCCUCCACAGAGAGUCACUGAUCUUGAUAGUGUUUAACAUGGAGGAAUAUGAUUCAACAAAGUUUCAUGAAAUGAUAGGACGCUGGAUCGAUUGGGUUUUAGCAAAGAACAACACGAUUACUGCGAUUCCAGUUGGAACCCAUUCUGAUUUGAUUAGUGAAGACAAAGUUAAGAAGAUCUGCGCUGAAGUGACUGGGCGAAUAUCUCAAUAUCUAACUAACUAUACGAAGUCCAUUCAGAAAGAGGUGAAGAAGAUCGAGUCUCGAAGUAAUAUACCGCCAUCUUUAUCUGAACAGUUGAAAUUGUACAUGAAUCUCCUUCGUGCCAAAACUAAAAUCUAUGAAUCCACCAUUGCCAUAAGUUCAUCAAAUAUGGAUGGUUUUGACAAUAUGUGUAGAGCUAUUGAGCAAAUGGCUAUAAAGGAACAUUUUCCGAAUAUUCUGAAAGUGGUGCCGUCAUUAUGGGUCGAGGUGGCUAAUUACAUCGAGGAGAAGGGAUACGCCAUGCAAGUUGCCUACAUGAAGUGGGACGAAUAUGUUGAGGAAUGCAGUGAAAAGUUCGGAAUGAGACACCUAAUGCCAAAUAUCACACAAUACUUACACGAUAGUGGCAAGGUGCUGUGGUUUAGAGAUAACCCAAACCUACAGGAGUAUGUCUUCCUCAGACCUUCCUGGUUGAUCGAUGUUAUAAAACAAUUUAUACGACACAAUGUUGACGAAUACAUUGAUUACAAAAACGAUGAUAUGUUCAGAUUCGCACUGAACGAACUGAAGUUCAAUCAAGUAAAACGAGACUUGAUAGAACAAGGCGUGGUUGAACGCGAUCUCCUUAAAUGCCUAUGGGCUGGACUAGUGAACACAGAAUCUAGCCAGGCUGUCCAAACAAUUUUGUCUCUACUGGUGGAGAAUUUUGAACUUGCAUACCCGGUUGAAAAUGCUAGGAUAAAAUCAGCAGCAGCAAGAUCAGUAAAAAGUGACGUCACUGAUCUUGAUGAAAAAGAAGUUUUUGGAUAUGGCAAAGUGAGAAUGGUGAAACUUGCUAUCCCUUGGUGCAUUCAUGACUCUGAACCAGAGAAGUUCGUGCAAAUCUGGGCGAACCUUAGCUACAGACCGGGACUUGUGUCGGUCUACAAGUUCCCACGUUAUAUCCCACCAGGCUUGUUCGAGCAAAUCACUGUUCGAGCAAACUUUCCGAAACACAAUCUACAAUUUCAAUUCCAUUGGAAAGAAGGCGUCGUUGCAAAGGCGACGGCAAACGGGAAGCCUGUAUUCGUAGUCAUGCGUAGACUUCGUGACAGAGAUGGCGGAACCCAACUACGUAUAGAUGUGAGGUUUGCCAACGCAGAGGAAGAAAUAGAAGUUCAGCAACUGUGGACAGUAAUGUUACCUUUACUAAAGGAUUGCGAAGAUGUGAUUUCAAGGUUUACAGGAAUUUGGUUAGUCAGAUAUGCGGAGUGCCCAGUAUGUCGAGACCUGUCAUUUUUAGGAGAAUGGCUCACACCCAAAGAACUACAGAACAUUCCUAAGAAGAUAUGCGAAUGUUGUAAGAAGAUGGUUAACACUGACUACCUGGUCCAGCCAAAGGAGAGGAAACAGGCCGAAGAACUCAUGAAGUACAUCAACGCCGUUGAGGCUAAAAGGAAGGCUGAUGACACUUCACAUAUUCAAGAAGAAGAAGAUGAGACAGACCUCUAUCUUACACUUGACAACAGCGACUCUGAUUCUAGCGGAGAAGAUGUAGAUGAAGAGAGUGUGCCUGAAAAUGUUGUUAAUACGUCAAGUGACAGUGCCUCCAAUUUCAAACAUUUCAACAUAGAAGAAGACGAUUACGGUGAAUCUCGUGCUGGAUAUAAUGCACAUGCGCGUUUAGUUUCACCACAAGAAAGUUUCUUUGAGACUUCAAAAGGGGGAUAUUCAGACGGCACUGAUUGUACGAGGCAAAUAGAGAAUUUAUUUUUAUGAUUUUAUCAUUUCAACAGUUUACAUGAAUUGUAUAUAUUUGCUCUAUUAAAUGGACUCGAUCUCAAGAGUAAGGUUUCACUUCGAACCUGCUGAACGUCGACAUAGGAGGGGAACUUCAUUCCUGAGUGUGUUUCUAGUUUUUUAAUAUACAUCUACAAUUUUGUUGAAUAUGUAAAUGUUCGUUUGAAUGAUCAAAAACUAUUUGUACAUUGCUUGUGAAUAAUAGUGCUAAUGUGAAUGAUAGUGCUUAAUUAUGUGAUUCAUAGAGCAAGCUUUAAUGUCUCAAUAAUGUAAUGAAAGUUCCCAUAAUUGGGUUUUGGAAUGAUUGGAUUUGCCACGGACAAGGGUUCAUUUCAAUUUUAGUUUAUUUUUAUUUUAUUUUUUCUAUUUGCUUAUGUACCGUUUGUAUCGUUAGUAUAUGGCGAUAUAAAAGUAAAGGGAAACGUAUGCAUCUGUUUUUGUAUAGAUGUUACGCAUUGAUUUUUAAUAAAAAUCACUUUAGUGAAACUAAAAAAUUGAUUUUCAAGCAAUCUCUCUG
rnacentral:misc_RNA from 1 species